AGUGAACGCUGGCGGUAGGCCUAACACAUGCAAGUCGAACGGCAGCACAGUAAGAGCUUGCUCUUACGGGUGGCGAGUGGCGGACGGGUGAGGAAUACAUCGGAAUCUACUUUUUCGUGGGGGAUAACGUAGGGAAACUUACGCUAAUACCGCAUACGACCUACGGGUGAAAGCAGGGGAUCUUCGGACCUUGCGCGAUUGAAUGAGCCGAUGUCGGAUUAGCUAGUUGGCGGGGUAAAGGCCCACCAAGGCGACGAUCCGUAGCUGGUCUGAGAGGAUGAUCGGCCACACUGGAACUGAGACACGGUCCAGACUCCUACGGGAGGCAGCAGAGGGGAAUAUUGGACAAUGGGCGCAAGCCUGAUCCAGCCAUACCGCGUGGGUGAAGAAGGCCUUCGGGUUGUAAAGCCCUUUUGUUGGGAAAGAAAAGCAGCAGGUUAAUACCCCGCUGUUCUGACGGUACCCAAAGAAUAAGCACCGGCUAACUUCGUG
rnacentral:rRNA from 1 species